AAGCUGGAGUCAGGAGCACGUAUAGUAAAACUGGAACAAUAUGCAGAAGGUUAGCAAAGCCUCUGAGCAAGGUUGACAUGCGCAUGUGUGAGGUGCCCCACAUUCGU
ensembl:snRNA U6 U6 spliceosomal RNA